CACUGCGCAGGCGCUGGGCGGCCAGCCGCGCCCCCGCGGGGCUGCUCCAAAGUUACAGCCGCGCUCCGACCGCGCAGUGUAGCGCUGCAGCCCGCGUACAGAAGACAGAAGAAAACUCCCGUCCUGCUGCGUUGCCUUCUCCAGGACUGAGAGAGGCUUUUCCAGUGCAAGCCCGCAGCCCUCUUCCUUUGCGAUCUCCGGAGGACUGCAGCGAGCAUUGUUUGUCCUUUUAGAGCCUCCUGCUUUGAGGAGCCAGUUGUGUGUGGGCCCGAAGGUCCCUGAGCAUCCCCUUCCAGCUAGAUUCUCGGAAAAUGAGGUUUUACACUCUCUUUAGUGGAUUCCGACUUCUCGACUUCCCGACUUCCCUUGUCUGAUGAGCCUGGCAAGUACUCUGUCUCCUGAUACCACUCAUGACCAAAAGAGCCCCCGGCGCAGGCUCAUUACACGCCCGGCUCCUCUCCAGCAAGCGCUUAUCCAGGCAUUCAGACUUCAGGACCAAUGGUGAGCUUUCAAAAAUGAAAAUGAUGGAAAAAUCAUCAAAAUUACUGUAAACUGUACUGCCAAGUGAAGAAGUGUUUCCUGGUAGCAUGUGCAGAGUUAAGGGAAAUUAUAUUCCUGCAUUACAUAAUCUACCAACAACCUAUUUACCUCCUGUCUUAUUUAACUAAGUUAUUCUUGAAAGCAGAGCCUGCGACAAGAGUAGACACAUUCAAUUUGGGACUGUGAUUGCAGAGAGCAGGAAUGAGAGAGAGAGGGCUGAAUGGGGCAGCGGGAAAAAAAGAAAAUCCAAGGAAAAAACAGUGGUAUCAAGUGGUCCACCAGUGUUAUGGCUACUUCAUGCAGAACCUUCUCAGGAUUCUUAUUAAAAUUUGUCUCAGAACUGUCGGUUUAAGGGGUGAAAGAAGGCAGCAUUCAUCUCUCAGCAGCCAUUUCCUACAUGUUGAAGGCCACUUCUGUGUGGCAUUAACACCCCCACCCCUAUGGGUUGCAAAGACAGGAGGGCCUUGCAAAGACAGGCUACCAUAGCAUCACGAUUGCCACCUCAGAGAAGCCAUGGGACGGGAAGCUAGAUACCUGGUAUGUGCCUGACAGGAAGCACUGUCAGCACAGAGCAGGGUAAAACCCGCCCAGAACUGCUCACCAGAGCUGUGGCUGGAAUCAGCAAUUGAAGAGAUGCAAGACAGUACACAAGAGGCAUCUUAUAAGCCUACAGAAUGUACUAUUCACCUGAUCUAAAUCUAUGUUCUCCUUUCUUUCUGUAAUCAAAAUUUCAGUGUCCAUAAGAAGGUUGGCAGAGGAUUAAAUACGAAGCUUAAAUGUAUUAGAAGAUGUAUGGUAAUAACCAUUUUAACCUUAAGUAAUGUUAUUCACUAUACAUAUGAAUAAGUGAUGUUUAUAAAAAAUAGAAAGUGACACAGAACUUGGAAAAUUAAGAAAUGAUUCUACUUAAAAAAUUGGGCCAUUGGAUAGUUAUAUUAUCUUUUAAUCUCAUGUAAUCUCAGAAACAAUUAUGAAUUGUUUGGAGGCAAAUGGAAAAAUAAAAUUAGCCAUUUGAUAUGUCUCUGUGAGCUUUGUAAGUCAAUGUCAGUAACAUUUCCUAAGAUUGUCUUUAGCCAUCACUGGUCAUACAGAGCUUACAACCAAUGCAGGGAAAAUUGGGAGAAACAAAGGAAGGAAGAGUAUUGGGAUAAUUUUCAUCACAUAGAGGGUUGGCACUAAUAUUAGUUGAAAUGGAGGGGAACUGCAUGCUUUGACUUGGGGAUCCUUCUAUGAGGCUCUGUCUUACCAGAAAUAGUUUUGUCUCUACCUGCACCCCUGUGUUGUCAUCAUCCUCCUCUCUUAUUUGAUCUGGAAUUGCCACCAACAGAAUAAAGAACCUUGAGUUAUUCA